rnacentral:tRNA from 1 species
GGUCGCCUGGCGAAAUGGUAUCGCGUCUGACUACGAAUCAGGAGAUUGCAGGUUCGAGCCCUGCGGUGAUCA